rnacentral:rRNA from 1 species
CCCGGUCUAACCACCGGGAUGUUCAUAACCCUUUGUUGUCCGACUCUGUUGCCUCCGGGGCGACCCUGCCUUCGGGCGGGGGCUCCGGGUGGACACUUCAAACUCUUGCGUAACUUUGCAGUCUGAGUAAAUUUAAUUAAUAAAUUAAAACUUUUAACAACGGAUCUCUUGGUUCUGGCAUCGAUGAAGAACGCAGCGAAAUGCGAUAAGUAAUGUGAAUUGCAGAAUUCAGUGAAUCAUCGAAUCUUUGAACGCACAUUGCGCCCCCUGGUAUUCCGGGGGGCAUGCCUGUUCGAGCGUCAUUUCACCACUCAAGCCUCGCUUGGUAUUGGGCAACGCGGUCCGCCGCGUGCCUCAAAUCGACCGGCUGGGUCUUCUGUCCCCUAAGCGUUGUGGAAACUAUUCGCUAAAGGGUGCUCGGGAGGCUACGCCGUAAAACAAACCCAUUUCUAAGGUUGACCUCGGAUCAGGUAGGGAUACCCGCUGAACUUAAGCAUAUCAAUA